rnacentral:rRNA from 1 species
CCUGGGCUUCGGCCCUGGGGACAGCGGCGAACGGGUGAGUAACACGUGGGUAAUCUGCCCUUGACAUCGGGAUAGCCCGGGGAAACCCGGAUUAAUACCGAAUAGCCUCCGGAGCCUUCGGGCGCCGGAGAAAAGGUAGCUUCGGCCUCUGGUCAAGGAUGAGCCCGCGGCGGAUUAGCUUGUUGGCGGGGUAACGGCCCACCAAGGCGACGAUCCGUAGCUGGUCUGAGAGGACGAUCAGCCACACUGGGACUGAGACACGGCCCAGACUCCUACGGGAGGCAGCAGUGGGGAAUCUUGCGCAAAUGCGGGAAACCGUGACGCAGCGACGCCGCGUGGGGGAAGAAGGCCUUCGGGUUGUAAACCUCUUUCAGGAGGGACGAAGCUACUCGGGUUAAUAGCCCAGAGGGUGACGGUACCUCCAGAAGAAGCCCCGGCUAACUACGUGCCAGCAGCCGCGGUAAUACGUAGGGGGCAAGCGUUGUCCGGAUUUAUUGGGCGUAAAGAGCGUGUAGGCGGCUUGGUAGGUCCGCUGUGAAAACUCGAGGCUCAACCUCGAGAUGUCGGCGGAAACCACUUGGCUAGAGUCCGGAAGAGGAGAGUGGAAUUCCUGGUGUAGCGGUGAAAUGCGCAGAUAUCAGGAAGAACACCUAUGGCGAAGGCAGCUCUCUGGGACGGUACUGACGCCGAGACGCGAAAGCGUGGGGAGCGAACAGGAUUAGAUACCCUGGUAGUCCACGCCGUAAACGAUGGGUGCUAGGUGUGGGCGGUGUCGACUCCGUCCGUGCCGAAGCUAACGCAUUAAGCA